UGGUGGACAGAAAAAAAAAUUAAGUAAUGAUUAAUGAACUUUUAAAGUACAUUUAACUUAAAAUCUUUUGUAAAAUCAACUGCUUUGUAUAGUUAUUACACUUAAAUAAUUAAGUUCAAUGCACUAAAUUCCUAAAUAAAUAAAACAAUGCAAAGCAGUUGAUUUUACAAAAGGUUUUAAGUUAAAUGUACUUUAAAAGGUCAUUAAUCAUUUCUU